CGGCAUUUAUUCUCAGUUUAUCCCAUGAAAUAUACAAGAUGAAGAGGACAUGGGCAGCAGUAAUCACGAAAAGGACAAUGGUACAGUUGACGGAGGCAAGUGAUGAAGCCGCGAUACCUAAGGGAGCCGAAACACAAUUUUGAUCUCUGAAAUCAAUUUUGAUCUAGCUAGGAUGGCUGAUUUCGAUCCGGGCAUCCAUGCCCAUGUUGUGAACUGCCUCCAAUUAAUUCUGCCUACACACGCUACAUGUUCGCAUCACGCAGAUCUGUGCAUCCGCGCAUCAGCGGCCUAGCAUAUGUCGGACUGUUGGAUGCGGGACUUACCUGUGCUCUAAAGUAGUCUGGCUUAUCGCAGGUAACAGAAGCGAUUGACCUUCCUCUUUCCAAUCAGAUUUUUGGUGUGAUCAGUAGAUGUAUGAAGGAAAUCAACAAUUUAAAGUCCAACACCACUUUCAUCGAUCAAGGUUUUAAUAGGGAGCUCAGCAGCUUAUGAAACAACCUCCGCUCUAAUCUCAUGGCUUCACUCUGGAUAUGAUAUUUCUUGUUCUCAAAGAGUAUUUUAAAUAUAUAGAGAUGGCUCAUUUCUAUAUAGAUUUAUGUGGUUAUUGUUUGAUGUGAUGUGACAAGAAACUGAAGCUGUAACUGUUUUUCAGUCUGCAAAAUACUAUUACUUGUGUUGUUAAA